rnacentral:rRNA from 1 species
AUUGAACGCUGGCGGCAGGCCUAACACAUGCAAGUCGAGCGAGCGGUGGACGGGUGAGUAAUGCCUGGGAAUAUGCCUUAGUGUGGGGGAUAACUAUUGGAAACGAUAGCUAAUACCGCAUACGCUCAGAUUAGCUCAGGUGGUCUUAGCUAGUUGGUGGGGUAAGAGCUCACCAAGGCGACGAUCCCUAGCUGGUCUGAGAGGAGGAUCAGCUACACUGGAACUGAGACACGGGCCAGACUCCUACGGGAGGCAGCAGUGGGGAAUAUUGCACAAUGGGCGAAAGCCUGAUGCAGCCAUGCCGCGUGUAUGAAGAGGGCCUUCGGGUUGUAAAGUACUUUCAGUAGGGAGGCGUUACCUACAGAAGAAGCACCGGCUAACUCCGUGCCAGCAGCCGCGGUAAUAC